GUGAAGAAGGCCUGCGGGUUGUAAAGCACUUUUAGUGGGGAUGAAAAGCCGAAGGCUAAUACCUUUCGGUCUUGACCUAACCCAAAGAAAAAGCACCGGCUAACUCUGUGCCAGCAGCCGCGGUAAUACAGAGGGUGCAAACGUUGUUCGGAAUUACUGGGCGUAAAGCGCGUGUAGGCGGCACUGUAGGUCGGAUGUGAAAUCCCGUGGCUCAACCAUGGAAGUGCAUUCGAAACCGCAGAGCUCGAGUAUCGGAGAGGAAGGUGGAAUGCUUGGUGUAGAGGUGAAAUUCGUAGAUAUCAAGCGGAACACCGGUGGCGAAGGCGGCCUUCUGGACGAUUACUGACGCUGAGACGCGAAAGCGUGGGUAGCAAACAGGAUUAGAUACCCUGGUAGUCCACGCCGUAAACGAUGAGUGCUAGGUGUCAGAGGCUUUGACCCUUCUGGUGCCGUAGUUAACGCGUUAAGCACUCCGCCUGGGGAGUACGGCCGCAAGGCUA
rnacentral:rRNA from 1 species